rnacentral:tRNA from 1 species
UUUAAACCCUAAAUACAUAUAAAAUUCUCAUAUUA